UAAUAGCUUGUAAACUCUGUUCGGACUUUGAAUUGAGGUCCUCAAGGCCGAUUUCGUGAUAGGAACAGCGAGUCUGGUCGUCAAUAUCAGGAUUUCGUUUUAGAUGUCCAUUUUUAACCAGUUUUAAAACAGGUCUUGAUAAAUAUGCAACGGGGUCGUGGGCUUGGUGGGAAUCAUUUGGCAAUGAUAAUGGGAAAAAGGCUCACGGGUCAAAAGCCUCUUUUUCGGGUCUGUUUGAUGCACUUCAGUUUGAAAACGUGAGGACUGCUUUGUUUUAAAUCAUGACAGUUACGGCGAGGUCAAUCCUCUGUAAUCAAAAUUUGGUUCGAAUGAUUCAACGUACUCAUAGAUAUGAAAGGAGACGAAAAUUAUAUUAGAAAAAUGAUAGCAGAUUUAUUUCAUAAAAUGUGACACGUUUAAAAGAGUUCUCGGUUGUAACUGGAAAUCUAUCCGAGUUCUAAAAAUGUAGAUCUAGUGCAGACACACGAAAAGACCUUGAGCAUCACUCACUGAUUUCUAACUGUUUUCCAGUAUCUUGAAACUCUUCGGUCUCAUUCUUUUUUUGAUACUUAUUUAAUUGGCCAGGAUUGAUUUUGUAUUCAAGAAAGCGGCGGUCAAAAGCCCAAACGUCCAUAGGACACAAAUUUCAUGAAAUUUGAACCUCGUUGCGCUUUCAACUAUUCCUGGCGGGGGAAAUUGCAUCUGCCCCUCGGUCAAUUUGCCACCAAAAGUGGCCGUCUAGAUUGAUACUAAUUGUGCCCAUCAAUCUGAGCGGGAGGUAACAGACUGGUUAGGGCGCGGCAGAGGGCCAUUUUUUGGACCCGGGCAGAUCGGGCAGGGCUACAUUCGGCCCAGCUGUCUUGGUCAAUUAAAGGAGUAAUCUCUCAGGUGGCGAGAAUUGAGGGCGUCAUAAAAAAGUAUCAUCAGCUCCCUCCCCGGAAAAUUGCACUUCUGCUCGGCACGGAAAAGUGGUUUCAAGCAUGGUUAGUCGACUGGCUUGCUUUUGCCAUACGUAGCAUUCCAUCUUGUUCUUCUUGUUAUACAGUUAGUUCUUCAUCCUCUUUUCCGAAUCCGUUUCAUGAGACUGGAAUGCACGAAGCUGCUCGGAAAUGACGAUGCUGGAGGGGCCGAACCACAACGAGUUAAAAGUGGUGAUUGGACGAGGUUAAAAUGACACUUUUUCCCUCUGCGAAAGACGUCGUGCGUGAAAGAGCUCAAGUUUUGGCAUUGCCAAAAUGCUUUUCCGCCGAGCACAGGAUUUGGAUCUGAAUGUUUGUGAGUUCCAGAAGAUUUAAGAAGCAUAAGAAUCCUCCUCAGCAUUUGUGCAACCGUUCAGCUCAUGAGUCCCACAAAAGCUAGGGUCGGAGGAGUUCAAAACACUGAGACGUUCGAGGCUCAAAUUUUUUUGAAAAGGACCUUGAACCAUAGUACUUGAACGUGCUGCAAGAAAUGACCAUUGUGUGGAGUUCAAGAAUUCCUCUCCUUCCCACGAUGGGACGUGGUUGAACCUAACUUCGGCCUUCUUGUGAUCCAUCCGUUUUAAGUCGAUGUGGCUGGCCUUCAUAUCUUGGUGAGCGGACAAUGGGUCGCGAGAAAUGUGUCUCGGUCGUGAAGACUGGCCCUGGCCUCUUUUAUUGAAUUAGAGGCUGUCAAAACCUUGGGUGACAUAAUUAGAGGCCGGCAAGAACAGAAAUGGCACACAUUAUAGCAGCACAAAAAACAACGGUUGCUCUGGAGAAUAAUCCCGGACAGCUGUCACUGGUCUGCAUGGCCGCGGGAUAAUCGGCUGAAAUGAAAUGGAAACCAAUCAACAGAUAAGGAGACAUUGUGAGACCCAGGAAAAUGCUUGGCGCCGUUUUUUUCUUUCAAAGCGACACUCACUGUCCAAAACAUGAAGCAUGACCCUGGCCUUGUCCAUUUGGGCUGGAUGGCAUGUGUAUUCUCCACUAUCCGAUUUUGUGGCUUCUAGAAUGGUCAGAGUACUCAUGGUGGUCCCUUCGGCAAUGUGCUCUGGAGGAGUGGCUUGAAUUCGGGUGUGGCCGCCCAAUCCGGGUGAAAGGCGUUGCUCAUUGUGCCGCCAUUCGAUGUAAUUGGGCGGCUCCAAGGACUGCGAUAUCACACACUUCAUAUGGACAGUACUCGAUGACUUCACAAAUAUAUCCUGAUCUCCGAAGAUAUGAACCUUGGGAACUAGAAAGAGAAGCAAAUUCCGAAUGAGCUUCAGCAGUCCCGAAACUCGCCCCAUUCGAGCUAACUUUCAUCCACCAUUUAUGGUCCAUAAAUGCGUACAUGGUUGCUCUUCCAUUGAUUAAGUGCCUUCAAAGUGGGUUAAUCAGCCAGUCUCCAAGUUUGAGAGCCAUAAUUUGAACCCCUCUGGGUUUCCCCCUUCCCAUCCCUAUUUGACUUCCUUUCCUUGAUUUGACUGGGGCUGGUCUGGUAGCCCCUUGGGUUCUUACUGUACGUGUUGUCCCCCUUUUCAUUCAUGGAACACACUAAAUCAAACACGGCAAUGGAAAGUGAAUCCUUAAUAUCGGCUUUGUUCACCCUGUUACCCUCCUGUGUGUGUGGGUGGGUGGGUGGACCCAUUUUUGGUGUCCCUGCAUAAUCCACCAUGUGUUCAAAGUGGCUUCUCGGAAUCCAGUUCCAAAUGUUCUUCGUGUGUCAACCUAUCGAGCAUUUGGUUAGAAUGGCCUCAAAAGCAAUUUCACAAGCCAAUUCAUGUUCCUCAAAAAAUAAUGGCAAGGCUUGUGUUCCACUUCCUGGCAAUUUUUUUACGCAUUUGUCAGGACGGGUCAUUAUUCGAGUCGUUUGUUACUCUCAAGUGAAUCAACUUGGAGCCGCCUCGAUUUCGACUUGCAACGAUCAAUAGGGUCUCAAAUUGAAGCCAAUUAAACUUUCGUUUAGGAUUGGCACACUUUGUUGGCACUUGCAAUACAGGCUGGCACGGAUUUGCCGAAAUGGAUGAACAUGAAAGUUGUAACUUCACAAAAACUUCUCUCCCCCUUCCUUGCUUCUUUUUGUAAAACGCGUUAAUUUUUACCCCUUUGAGCCCCGUGCAACAAAGGGCAAAGUAGACCGACUACGCAUCCCACAGUAAUGGACCACAUUAUCCAAAGUUGGAUAGGGUGCAUGCAUUCCUGAACUAACUUAAUAUUCCGAGCAAGAUGGCAUAUUAGAUGGAAUAAAACACACCUCCAGUCUCA